rnacentral:tRNA from 1 species
CUCAUGAUAGUGUAUUUUGCAUAAAGACCUCUUUGAAAGGUCUCAAGAACUAUUUGGGGGUGGACCGGGUCCCGGUCCCGGUCUUGGUC